UCCAACCACAAUUAAAACAUUAAACGGUAGACGAAAUGGCCCCACGUCCACCAUAGCAUUACACCAACGCCUGAAAAUGAAACAAUGUCGCGACGCAUUCGACGUUUCCAAACAACUCUACCCACUAUUCAUGAAGAAAAUGAGAAUUAUCACCACAAGACCCGUAAAACUAUAACCCGACGAAUGGGUGCAUCGAUGGAAGCAUCGUCACGAUGCUUGCGGAUUAUGUAAAAAAGAUCACCGGUUAGCCACUUAUACCAUGUACUUGUCGGUUAACAUAUAUAAAAAGUACGAAGUUGUCAUCAAACAACGAUAUUGUGCUAAUUGUUUAGCCAGGUCCCACAAGACAGAAGAAUGCACAAGUAAGAACCGAUGUUCCACUUGCAAUGGGAAGCACCAUACAUCCCUACAUGGACACCCCAUAUUAUACACGGAAAAUGAAGUAAAAAUAGUAGAGAAACCAAUAUCUCAAAAGCAUCCAAUAUACUUUACCAACACGUCCCUUAAGUGACGAUGUUCAAACACGCUUUGACCACUUAGUCCUCGCUGACCCAUACUUUUAUACCAACAGAGAAAUGAUGAUUGAAAUUGGAGCAGAUGUAUACCCACACAUUAUCUGAAGUGGAUUGUUUACCCCUGAUAAUGGUACAGUGGUAGCACAAAAUACAGCAUUCGGCUGGACCCUCACUGGAACCCUAUGAUAACGAAAUACCCUAAGUAUUAUCAUUCAAUUCACUCUCAUUAAUCACAUUGAAAUAUAUAAAUUAUACCCCACUAAUCCCAUUUUAUUUCGCAGAUACUGCAAGGCGGCCGGGAUGUUUGACGCAAACAAAUACUCCUCUGCAUUACUAUCAAAUACUCCGAAAAGUAAUAGAGAUGUAAUGCCACAAACUUCACAAAUAACUUUUACAACAAAACAACACCCGAUGAGGUACAAAAACACAUAAACCAAUUCGUAUUCGUACACAAAAACGCGCGCUAAUCACAAGUGAAAUUAUCAAGUGGAAACAAAGGAUUUAACAAAAAGGAGAAAUAAACACCAACUCACAACCCUAAACGUGAAAACGGAAAAAACAUAAAUUCGACAAUAAAUUUGCGAAUACCAAACGGAGAAUAUCCCCAACAACCACAUAUUAAUCAACACUAAACAACACAAGGAAUUACGUAUACAACACAGGUUAUUAUAACACAAUUAUACUAACAUUGGAUACUAAUUAAACAUACAUAAAACAAUCACAAAUAUUGUAAAAUUACACCCAAACUCACAUAUAUUUGAUGUACAUACACAUAACGCAAAAUCAUAUCGAAUACACUGAAUUUUUGUAAAUUUGAAAAUCGAAACCACUAACUUUUCUUUAACACAACAUCGGCCCCAACGUCGAUAUAACUCGACAAUAGCUACCCAGCAAGUCAUGGGUACUGAAACUCCAACACAUUCAAAGAAAUUUUAAUAACACCACUACAUACACACAUACGCAACAAAGGGUAAAAUGUGUAUAAACAUUUAACUCAACUCUUCUCUCAUACAGCACCCUGAAUGAUAGAAAGAAACAAACAAAAUUCUCGUGUUUGAACAAGUUUUGUUUUGAUUUAUAUCAUGGCUGGUUGUGAAGUAUUAUUUUGCGUGUUUUAUUUAAUUCAGUGAUCCGUAGCCUAAUUAAAGUUUAAAUUAUUGAAGCACGCAUUUUUAAAUAAGUAAAACGUAAAAUAAAAGUUUUCUAAAGCCAAAAUAUGGAAUUGAAGAGGGUGGAUACAGUAAUACUUCAUUGCACUGUCAAUUAGAAGCACGCAAUAGAAGCUACGCCAACAAUGGUCAACAUCAAGGGCAAAACCAUUGAAUACAUAUUUCAAACCUCAUAUGGCGCGUUAAAGGUACGCAAACUUAUUGGUGUCACUUAUGGUAUCAGUGUAGAACUUUCGAAGCGAUGGAAUAUGUGCUGCAAGCAAAUCCAGAACUACGGAUGCAAACGCUGCUACAUGCAACACAAAUCAUUUACAGAUAUGUAUGUAUUAGGUUUAAUGUCACUUUUUUACGUGCAAUUAAACCUUUUGGUCAACACAAGCACAAGAAUUGGAACCACAUGGUUUAGGUGAUUUUGUAACCGUUUAUCGUCGCGACGUGUGUCAACUGGGUUUUGCCACUGAGCUAGAGGGCAAAGCAGAUGCAGUAUUUUUGGAGCACCUCAGUUGGCCAUACCAGCAGCUGAAACAUAGAAAUCAGAGGAUAAAUUUAAGUGAAUGUUUGUGAUCAUAGAAAUUUAAAAACUUCUUGUAUGUUCAAUUAGGAGGACUUUUUUGAUUCAUUUUCACCUUGUAUUGAGAAAUCACAACGUUGUUGUAUCGCUUUAUAAGGACAUGGAUUCACCGAAAUUAGUUCAAUGGAAAUACUACACCAAGAGCAUCGAUGUUAAGACUAGAACGUUGCCAAUGCUAGAUUUAGAAUUCCUGAUACAUAACAAACCCUCCUCCCAGAAAAUCGACGAAUCUAGUACUAAUGAAAUUAAUGAAAGAACAGAUCUUCCAAAUCUCCUAAAGAAACCAAAAUAGUCCUCACAUAAUGUGCGCAGCUUACACUUCCAGGCCGCUCAGGGUAUUUAGCAUUUGCCACUCUUCCUCCAGCCUUUGUCAGAUAGCAAAAAUUGUUCAAACAUUGAAUACGUUAUACAUAUGUAUAUAGUGUAGUACGAUAAUACAUUUAUAAAGUAAAUAUAAUAAUAAAAACCUA